UUUCUUAAAGUUGUCAAACAAGAACCAAAGUGUACCUUUUAAACUUUAAAAUAUCAAUUGAACAUUUAAUUAGAAACCUUUGGUUUAAACAUUUAUGCGUGUUUCUGAAUUCCUUUCAUUAAAAUUGAGUAAAUAAAAUCUCACUCUAUUUAAGCAAUUUUGUGUUGUAAAAAAACACAAAAACAUACAAUUAAGUACUUGACCUAUAGUAUAGAAACUUGUUUUUGUUGGAGACUAUAUUGACCUCUGGGGUCCAGGUUUUUUGUGUUGUUUAGUUGCUGUCUCAAUAACAUAAUCCCUAAAGUCAUUUUCAAUUAAUCAUAGACAAAGGACAAAUUAUAAAAAACCCAGAAUAACCAAAUCCUUCAUAUUAACUUAUAAUAACUGUUAAAUUUUCCUUCAAAUUAAAUAUAUGUUUCACACAUCUCCUUCGUUUAGAUAAAUUUUAAAGUGAAACAGAGAAUGGAAGCCAAAUAUUUAAAAUUUAGAUUAAUUGAAAUAGCCUCCCCUCUUAAAAAAAAAUAUAGAACAAAUUUUAACAGAAAAAAGGGGGACGGAAACCUAAAGAUACAGAAUUAAAAUAAAAGUGAUAAAAAGAUCCUCCGUCCUUUUCUAAACUUCUUUUUAAAGUUUUAAAUUUGGUAAAUUAGAUGUUCCCUGAAUUAAGAGUAUCCAUGGGAACAUGUCCCAUUUUUACUAGAAAUUAAUAUACCCAUAGGAACAUUACGGUACAUGUUCCUCUCCAAAGUAAUAAAGGUAUCCAUUGGAACAUCACAUGUUCCUCUCCAAAGUAAUAAAGGUAUCCAUAGGAACAUCACAUGUUCCUCUCCAAAGUAAUAAAGGUAUCCAUAGGAACAUCACAUGUUCCUCUCCAAAGUAAUGAAGGUAUCCAUAGGAACAUCACAUGUUCCUCUCCAAAGUAAUAAAGGUAUCCAUAGGAACAUCACAUGUUCCACUCCAAAGUAAUAAAGGUAUCCACAGUAACAUCCCAUGUGUCUUACCAAUGUAAAUAAGGUAUCCAUAGGAACAUGGGAGCCUCGGUGGCCAAGUGGUCUAAGUAGUUACUACUGUAAUCACUAGCCAGUCAACACUGAGGUUGUGAAUUCAAACCCCGCUCGUGCGGGUGCACAUAACUCCAAUCUUAAUUGACUUAGGGUUGUCAGUUUUCCUAUUGAAGGUCAGUGGUUUUCUCCAGGCACUCUGGCUUCCUCCACCAAUACAAACUGGCCGCCAUGAAAUAGCCAAAGUAGUGCUUAAAAGUGGCGUUAAAACACCAAAAAAUCAAAUUCAAAUCCAUAGGUGCACUGCAUGCUCCAAAUUUACUGGUAUCUGAUAUCCAUUGGAAUCCAAAUUUAGUUGUUCAGUUUGUAUUGAUGACAGAAUUGGCUUUACAAUGAACUUUGAACUCAAAGAAAUGGAUACACAUGUUUCAGAAAAGUAAGUUUGGUACCUAUAUCUCUUUUCACACUUUUGUUGUUUUUAAAUAAUUUGUAAAUUUUAUUGUAAAUGUAACAUAUUUAAGUUGUCAAAUUUUUGUGUAAAAAGGGGAAUGACCAUUUCAAAACUGUUUUUCAAUAUUUUUGUUAAAGAUUUUCAGAAGGAAACAGAAAAAUUAUUUAUAAAAAUGUGGAUAGUGUCAAAUGUGUAUAUAGUUUUAAGAAAAAUAAAAAAAAACAAAAAAAUGCAUGGGUGAUGGUUUUUAAUGAUUUUAAGAAAAAUAGACAAAAAAAAAAAAAAAAAAAUGCAUGGGUGAUGGUUUUUAAUGAUUUUAAGAAAAAUAGUAAAAAAAAAAAAAAAAAAAAAAAAAAAAAA